rnacentral:rRNA from 1 species
GAUCAUGGCUCAGGAUGAACGCUAGCGACAGGCUUAACACAUGCAAGUCGAGGGGCAGCACAGGUAGCAAUACCGGGUGGCGACCGGCGCACGGGUGAGUAACGCGUAUGCAACUUACCUAUCAGAGGGGGGAUAACCCGGCGAAAGUCGGAUUAAUACCGCAUGAAGCAGGGGCCCCGGCAUGGGGAUAUUUGCUAAAGAUUCAUCGCUGAUAGAUAGGCAUGCGUUCCAUUAGG